rnacentral:rRNA from 1 species
AUUGAACGCUGGCGGCAGGCCUAACACAUGCAAGUCGAGCGAGCGGCGGACGGGUGAGUAAUGUCUGGGGAACUGCCCGAUAGAGGGGGAUAACUACUGGAAACGGUGGCUAAUCCCGCAUACUAUAGGAUGUACCCAUAUGGGAUUAGCUAGUAGGUGGGGUAAAGGCUCACCUAGGCGACGAUCCCUAGCUGGUCUGAGAGGAUGAUCAGCCACACUGGGACUGGUACACGGUCCAGACUCCUACGGGAGGCAGCAGUGGGGAAUAGUGCACAAGGGGCGCAAGCCUGAUGCAGCCAGGCCGCGUGUAUGAAGAAGGCCUUAGGGUUGUAAAGUACUUUCAGCGGGGAGGCGUUACCCGCAGAAGAAGCACCGGCUAACUCCGUGCCAGCAGCCGCGGUAAUUC